GCCGGGCCGGGCCGGGCCGGGGCUCACCAUCCCGGAGCAGAGGCUGAUGACGGCCGUGUGCCGCGGGCGGGCGUUGACGUGCCCCCGGUAGAAGCAGUGCUUCACGUCGGCGUCCGCCGCCUCCGCGUACAGCCGCCGCUGCUCGGCGCCGGGCUCGCCCAGGAGGCUGACGGUGAAGAGCGGGGCGAUGAAGGCCGAGCUGGCUGUCAGGUUGAAGAGGAACUGCUGGCCGAAGGCGGAGAGCCGGUAGUGCGCCUUGGAGGAGGCGGCGGCGGCCGCCGUCCAGGCGUCGGGGGCCGCGCCGGUGCUCCGCCGCCUCCUCCUGAAGUGGACAUCGGUGGGGAAGGGCUCGCCAAACUCAUUCACCCGGGUAGGAGUCACUAUCUCGUACUCGCUGAGCUUCUCCAGCAGCUUGGCUGCGAGGAGAGAGAGAGGCACAUGCCCCCUGAGCGGAGGGAAGACGAGCCCCGGCCCGCCGCCCCCGCGCCCCCGGCUGCCCCCUUACCUUGCCUGGGGUGCAGCUUCUGCCGCCUGCCUCCUGCCCUCAAGCCGUCGACGAAGAGCGUGGAACGCUGGAAUCGCAGGUUUUCGCCAAGAAAAGCCCUGGCUGCGGCGGCCCGGGCGCCGCGGCUGCCCCGUCCCUCCCGGCGGCGCCCCGCUUCGCCGGGCUGCGAGUGGCUCUGAAGACGCCCGGGCAGAGCCGCACCGACCGCUGCCCGAGCGCGGCAGCUCCUCGGGGGGAAAGAGCCGCAUUUUGACUCGCCAGAAGGAGAGCUGCAAGCGUUUCUUACAUAAUUGUUUCCUUUUUCAUUUUUUUUAAAAGUCCUGAAGAAAGUUUAUUAACUCUACAAGUAUUUGAAGAAUCCUAUCUGUGACACUUUUUAUAGCAUUUGUUUUCUUGUGUGAUUCUCAGAUAUGAGGCACUUAAAGCAACUUUGUCUAGGGUUAUAUUGUGCAGUUUCAGGCACCCUGAGGGAAGGAGGGGGUCUUUUCCUUCUCAAAGAUUUUUUUUUUUUUCCUUUUACAGGUUGGAAAUAUAGUAUAAAAAUGUGAGACAUCCUUUAAAACUAAAUUUAAUUCAGCAUGCCUUCUACCCUUCCACCAGCGUGCUCUUUUUUUUUGCAAAUGGGGAAAGAUGCUGUGAAAUUUAAAGAUUGUAGCAAGUGGAAAAAAAGUAACUGAAAGUGCUUGAAAGCUGGAGUUGCACUUCCAUAAAGAAUUCCAUACUUCUGUAGUUUCUCCACUCAACUUUAGGACAAAGAACAGAAAUACCAUCAUUUUCUGCAGAAGGCUCAACAAAGCCAGACCGUGUUCAGACUUCAGUUGUCUUAUGCGUGGUCAUCUCCAGCAACUGUACUGGUUUCAUCACGUGUCCAAUUCUCAGGCAGAAGUGUUGUCCAAAUGCAAUUAGAGGAUUUGGGCCAUUUGGGCUUUCCUGAUAACUGCAGCCAAGGCAGAGCUCCUCCUAACCUGCAGACCUGCGGCAGCCACAAGGAGGUGGGCAUGUGGGUAGCACAGCUUGUGUGCCUGGAAAUACAGCAGCUCUGCUAAGGAUCUACCAAGAUCCAAGUAUAUUGGGAUAUAUAUGUCUCAUUUUCAGGCCUCUCUACUUUCUGUAGACACUAGAAUAUAAAUAACAUUACUGAAUGUUGGUAAUGGCAACUAGGCUCAAUUUUGUAAGCCAUCUGUUUCCAGAUUUUCUCCUAUUUUACUAGCCUAACUCUUAAAUACCCCUAACAUUUUCAUCCAAAAAGUUUCAAAAGGAAGCAGCAUGACCUGGAACUCACUGUAAAAUUAAUGGAUGUGUUGACCUAGUUGGCAUUUCUUGGAAAUGACAGAGUCUACUGAGAAGCCAGGACCAAUUUGUGCUAGCUGCAGCUCUAGCCCAGGACUGAAAAUGAAACCUCUGUCAGAGUUGCCCUACCUUAUCAUGCUCAGUUAAUGCGUUACUCCACAUUAGCUGCCCAGUUAAGAGUAGCUUUUGGUAUAAGGAGAGGGCGAACUUGUCUUUAGCCACUGCGUUGUUUCUCUGUGCAGUUUUCAUAGCAGCUUCCUGCUCUCAGUGCUCUUUGCAACUCAAAGCACAUGUUCGCAACUGAGAAUUGUCCAAGUUGGAGCCAUUUCAUCUACUGACGAGGCGAUCGUUUGUGCUCGUGCAGCACCAGGACAGGGAGAUGCUGGCCCUUGGUGGAGACCACUAGAUACAUCGUAACUUAAGAACCUUGCUCACAUCUCCAGAGACCUGUGACUGAAUCAAACUCCAUGAGCAUGAAAGGGCACCCUCCAAAGAAGCGAUAUGUAGUAUGGACAUUGGGCUCAUUAAAACAAAACUCUGCUUAUUCCAUUUUGUUCUGUGAAUUAUUUAACCCCUCCAAGCAGUGAGAAUAUAAUUUUGUAGCCCUAGGUAUACACAUAUGAGAUGGUCUGGUUUAGGGUAGCAGUAUCUAAUUAACCAUGUCCAUUUUUUUGCAUGCCAUUAUGAAUGGUAAAUAGUCCCAUGAGCCAGAAGUUACCGAUUUUCUGACAUGGUACGCUUAUGGUAGUACUUCACCAGAGCACCGGUACUUCUUCCAGGGAUUUGCUGCUGUGUGAGCCACACAGGGGUGAUGCUGUUUUGCCUUGCUGUGAGCCACUCCAAGGAGAGAGGGGUCCAAGUCCUAGCUGGCCCUGGGAACACAGUCAUCAUUACCACUUACUCUUGUGCAAACGCAGCACUCGCUCUGAAAAGCUCAACCUCAUGAUCCCCUACCAUUUGGCUUGGUUUCAUACUAGAAGCUUCUAUUGAGCAUCCCAAAACAGAUAUGGCUGUUGGAAUCCCAGAUUAACAAGUUCUGAUGAUAAAAAGCCCAUAGUUUUGAUGCUAUUUGUAUGCAGCAGUGCUAGGACUGUCAGGAGCCAUUAUCUUUCGGCAGAAAGGGCUGUGAGACCUUUUGGUGCUCAGAGCUGUGACUGCAGCUUUUAAAGGCAGAACUUCCUUUCCCUUUUCUGUCCCAUUCCUUAAAACUUUUCUCAUGUCCUAGUCCUUCUC